UUCACCUACUGGCAAUGAUUGUUUUCAAAUUUCAUUAAAAGCUGACUCAAUGAACUGUGACGCAGCUGCCUGGGACUCUUCUCCCAGCAUCUACCUUGAUGACCUACAACGUUAGGAAAACGGUGACGGAAGCGGAAAUGUGACUUCAUAUAACUCAUUGUGUGUAGCGCCGUGUUCGUCUACACACGGGCACCAGCCUGCCUUUCUCUGCACACUGCUCUGCCUUCUCUCUCGUGAUCUUCUGCUCAGGCUGUACUGUGUUUUGUUUUAAAUUUCUAAACAGAUCUGCCAGGAAAGCUCUAGCUGCUCAGAUACUGAGCGCCACUAGAAGAGUGACAAUGGCCAGAGCCCUGUGGCUUUGGCUCAGCGGCGGACUGGGCAGUGCGCUCUUCGCCUCGGAAGGUGGCGCUGCUGGGCCGGAUUGGGACUGACUCUCCCUGGACCCAACCAGGAUAGCUGAAAAGAAACUUGGGAUUUCUACAGUGAAUCCCCUGGGGUGACUCCUCUCUAGUCCACUACAAAGGCGGGAAAUAAAGCCGGCCCCCGGGGACAAAGCGGCGCCUCCACUCACGCAGCUGCGGGGCGUCCGGCAGAGGGGAGGGGGAAGGAGGAAGGCGGAGGACGGUUGCCAUGGCGACGAGCCAGCAUCUGAAGCGGCUGAAAGGACUCUUUGUUUUGAAGCCAGAUGACGGGUGGUGCGGUUUCUAAGGUACUUCUAAAACGCCCUCGGUCCAGGGAAGACGGGUCGGGCCGGAGUCACCUGGGAUGCGCUGCGGGGACAAGCGGCUCCCACGCUGGCCUGCCCUCCGGUGGCGCCAGACACCUGCUUCCCAUCAGCGACUCGGCAGAUUCUCGCUAAGGGCUGGGCGAGCGGGCUCAGGAAAGCCACUCCGAAUCACGUCUUUGGAAGAAAAGCAGAAAGGGAGCCGGUCGCUGGUGACGCACUGAAGGUGUGCAGAUUUCCCGAGUACUCAGUCACCAGUGUGUACGGUAUGGGGUAGUGUGUGUGUGUGUGUGUGUGUGUGUGUGUGUGUGUGUGUGUGUGUGUGUUUGCAUUUCAGGAAGUGGUUGCUUGCGCAGCUGUGAGACCAGCGGUUGUCGUCCGGGAAAUGAAAACUCUCCGAACAGCCUGCAGGUUUCAGUUUUGCCUGGCGUUGUCUGUAGAAGCAAAAGCAAAAGUUUAAACAAGGAAUUUAAAAUAAAGCUGCGUCUGUUUGAA